rnacentral:rRNA from 1 species
AAUCAACGCUGGCGGCGUGCCUCAGACAUGCAAGUCGAACGCGAAAUUUCCCUUCGGGGAGAAAGUAGAGUGGCGCACGGGUGGGUAACACGUGGGUAAUUUACCUUCGGGUGGGGAAGUAACGUCUCGAAAGAGACGCUAAUACCGCAUGAUGCAGCGGCACCACAUGGUGACAGUUGUUAAAGCGGGGGAGUCGCAAGACCUCGCGCCUGAAGAGAAGCCCGCGGCAGAUUAGCUAGUUGGUAAGGUAAAUGGCUUACCAAGGCAACGAUCUGUAGCCGGCCUGAGAGGGCGGUCGGCCACACUGACACUGAAUAACGGGUCAGACUCCUACGGGAGGCAGCAGUCGGGAAUUUUGGGCAAUGGGCGAAAGCCUGACCCAGCAACGCCGCGUGAAGGAUGAAGUAUUUCGGUAUGUAAACUUCACAAGAAUGGGAAGAAUAAGUGGGGG